AGAGAGGAAACAAAGUAUAUGGUAAGGCUCUUGUCACAAGGCAGCAUCCCACGGUGUUCCCUGUGCACAUGACUCCCACGGCCCCCCACACAGGGUGGGGCAACAGGGUUCCAGGUGCUUCAUUUAGAUCGUGCCACUCAUUCCCCAUCAUCUACGCCCCAGGUGAGCGUGUGUCACACGCACGAGGCGCAGUCACUCUGAGCUGAGAAAGUCCCCCACCUCUCCUCUGACACUACCCUGCCCAGCUAUUGCCCCUGCAGAGCUGUGUCUGAACAGGUGCUGUGUCUGCUCCUGCUGUUGGAUUUCCUAGAAGGAACACAUCUGUCUUUUUGGUUUUUCGAGACAGGGUUUCUCUGUGUAAUUUUGGUGCCUGUUCUGGAUCUCUGGAUCUCACUCUGUAGACCAGGCUGGCCUGGAACUCACAGAGAUCUGCCUGGCUCUGCCUCCCGAGUGCUGGGAUUAAAGGCGUGUGCCGUCACCGCCUGGCCACACCUGUCUUUGUAAGAGAGUCUGGCAAGCCUGAAUUAUGUAAGUUUGAGUCCAGCUUGAGCUACAUGUCAUGAAAUCCUGUCUCAAAAAAAUAGGUUGACAUUUCAGCACUCAGGAGGGAGAGGCAGGAGGACCAGGAGUUCAGAGCCUCCCCUCUCCCAAAAUAAAAGGGCUGGUGAACCCCAAAGCAGUCUCACCCUGCCUUCGGCCCUAGAAGUUCUAAUCGAUUUGACAGUGUCUCUCCUCCACUUAAAAUCCUUUACGAACCUGAUUUGGAUUCCUGGUAAAACGUGAAGCAUCUGCCCCUGCCCAAGCUCCACUCCCAACCCCAUUCCCAGCAGCUCCUGCCACACUGCACUGCACUGGGAUUCAGCAUGUCUUGGCAUCUGAGCCUGUGUGCAUGCUGGACCCGGCAGCAUGUGGCCUUCUGGGUGGUCCUCCUCCUUCACGUGGCCAGCUAACUUGCCAAGGGCCCUUCCUUCCUCCCCAGCCCUAGAGUUGAGGGGUUCCUCUCUGGCCACCACAGCCCUUUGCACAAGCAGAAAUAAAGGGACGGAAUAAAGGAUGUCCCGGUGUGCCUGAUAACUACUCAGACCCAUGUGUGGCUGUGGUACUGCAGUUUGGCCCUUCUUAUCUCUGUGGGUGGGAGCCCGGUAUAUUUCUACCCGGACCAUGCAGUAUCCCACCCUCAUGGUAAUGUAAGUGUAUGUGUGGGAGCCUGUACCCGCCACAUAAGACCACACUUUGGGGCCUGGGAGAUGGUUUGGUAGGUAGAGGCACUUGCUCUCAAGCCUGAUGACCUGAGUUUGAUCCCUGGAACCUUCAUGGUGCAAGGAGAGAACCGACUCCCAGGGGCUGUCUUCUGACCUCUAUUCGGGUUGGGUGGCAUGGAAAUUGUCCCUUUGUGACUGUGCUCUCUGUAUGUGACAUACUGUCCCCAGAACCAGCUCCUCUGGUCUCUCUUCUAGGUAAGUUUGCUUCACCCAGAUGCCUACAGGCUUGUGCCCGGACACCUGACCCCCACACCCAGCCCACCGUCCAACUCUGGGUACCAGAACCAGACGCGGAUCACUUCCUUCUCCAUGUGCAGCUGCUCUGCGAUCAGCAGGAUCUCCUCUGAGGAGCUGAAGCCAGGAGGCAUGUAGCACGGCACAGCAAGCUGCGGUCUACCAGACCUGGAACGGCACGCUGACCGCGGGACACCUGGAAGUCCCGUCCUCCAAGCUGCCCCGGGAGGGCUUGCUCUUUGCCUCUCCCUUCCUGGUGAAAUGUUUGCCUAGUCUUACAUUCCCACAGAACAAAUAGACUUGUUUAAAAAUGUAAACCAGGCUAAGUCUUUUUUUCUCUUUUUAAAAUGUUCCCAAGGCAUGUGGUAUGAUGUCUGGAAUUAUCUCUAACGCACUCCAGCAAAUAGCAGGUGUGUGCAUUGGUAUAGACACUUGGAGAAAAGCUUCGGCACUAAUUUAGGUUGAAAAAAAGAACUCAGAUUUUGUGAAUUUAUUUGGAGAUAGGAUCUUUGCUUUGCAGAUGAACAAGGCCAUGAAAGUGGGUUCCAAUGCAUUAUGGUUGAUAGUGUCAUUAAAAGGGGAAAAUUCAGCCAGGCGGUGGU